rnacentral:rRNA from 1 species
CGAACGCUGGCGGCGUACCUAAUACAUGCAAGUCGAGCGGACGGAUGGGAGCUUGCUCCCAGACCGUCAGCGGCGGACGGGUGAGUAACACGUGGGCAACCUGCCUGUAAGACUGGGAUAACUCCGGGAAACCGGGGCUAAUACCGGAUAACUCUUUCCCUCACAUGAGGGAAAGCUGAAAGAUGGCAUCUCGCUAUCACUUACAGAUGGGCCCGCGGCGCAUUAGCUAGUUGGUGAGGUAACGGCUCACCAAGGCGACGAUGCGUAGCCGACCUGAGAGGGUGAUCGGCCACACUGGGACUGAGACACGGCCCAGACUCCUACGGGAGGCAGCAGUAGGGAAUCUUCCGCAAUGGACGAAAGUCUGACGGAGCAACGCCGCGUGAGUGAUGAAGGUUUUCGGAUCGUAAAACUCUGUUGUCAGGGAAGAACAAGUACCGGAGUAACUGCCGGUACCUUGACGGUACCUGACCAGAAAGCCACGGCUAACUACAUG